GAAAAAAAACAUGUCAGUCAAAAAUAUUCAAAAUGUUUUGUUUUGAUUUUAAAUUCCCCCAAUAAAUCUCAUCUCCGGAUCUGAGUGGCAUCUGGCCUUAUCAUUUAUUAUCUUUAAUUAUACAGAUAGCAGUGAUCAGGAUGAAGAAAAAGAUUCAGCACACGAUAUGUUCCAGAUAAAGAUUUUCCAGAAGUUCCCGGAUUUUCCAAAAAAAGGACAAGAACAUGAUACAAAUGUGUAUGAUUUUGGAUUGCCCGAGAAACGGCCAUAGAGCUAGUUUUUUUUUCGUUCAGCAAAAGAGGAAAAAGAAUCACACAUUCCGCUGCCGGGCAAAGCGGAACUCGUCUUGCUCGACACAGCGACUGUAAAGCUGAAAAUUAUUGAUAACGAGUUUUAGUAUUAGUUAAAUAUGUUGACUUCAAAGAUAAAAACUGAGCUAGGACUUAAACUCCAGGAAUUCGAAAUUAAUCGACAACUGCAAUUGCUACCGAUGGCGAUUGUUUUUAAGAUCCAGAAGAAGCGGUCGAUUCAUACAGUGCGAGGAUAGGUAUUACAAUGAAAUGGAUCAUUUCAUAGAUUAGGAUAAACGUCGCAGAUAAGGAAGGAAAAAUGUAACUGUGGUUAAAAAAAUGAGUGGAGAACCCUCCGCGAGACGGUGAAAGUGAAUUAUUAGUAUUCGUUCCACCCAAUCGUACGUAUGAUAUUUCUACUAAUAAAACUGUAAAAUAUAAAGCUCAUCUGACAUCUGCUACUACACAAACAACUAAUAUACAGGAAUUAGUGAACAGUUAUCUUUGUACGGAAUAAGUUCCGAUAUGUUGCAGACUGAGUAUCUUGCUGCCGGAGGUGGUGAUGCUCGCAGUACGGCUCGUUUGGGAUCCAUGCGAAGUUUUUUUUUUUGCAAAGCUUUGAGCUAAUUCAAACGAAAGAAAGAACCAUGCUUAACUUUUAUUAAAAUCUAGAUACUCGAAGCAUUAUUUGUGUUCCGUGCGAAGUAUUCGAACAAGCUUUCAAUAAUGUCCUGUAUAUUUUCUACACAUAUCUAUGUUACAAAAACUUUAGUUAACACAUUGCAAAUUGAUGAGCCGUCGGGGUCAGCUUGAUUUGAAUGGUGGUAUUCCCGGCUAUCAAAUUCAAUACAGACAAUAAAUUCGUGGGUUAUUUCUAAAAACCUUAUGUUGAAGCGACUAUAACAACGACUUGUCUUUUUCGCGGUAAUAUUAUCUAAACAACUAAUUCAUGUCAUGAAAUUAUCAUAGUUAUCUCAAUCAUACAUUGUCAAUUUCACUAUUUGCUUUUUAGUUUUGUUGUUAUAAAGUGAUAUUGUUAUCUAGACCAUAAAGAAAACUCGGUUGAAAAACACCGUACAAAUCUAGUCAAACUAACGCUCUUGAAAAGUAGAAAGUUCCGUGCUAUUUUUCUGUGUGAACAAAUCUUGCCAAAAGAAACCCCAAAAUGGUAGAAAGUAUCAUGAUAUUUUUCUGUGUGGAUAUGUUUUAGUUCACCCAACGGCCUAAAGAGGGCAAACUUCAGUGUUGCCUUGGAUAUCUAUGUUUCUUCAGUCUAUGGUUAAACUGAUCAUCUCUACCAGUGCUGAUAAAAGUCAUUUUCCCCAGCAAAAUUCUUCGAAAAUUACAGCCAAUCAUUUCCAAUUUUCACUUCCAAUGAUCGCAGCAUUCUUUCAGAUACACUAGAUUUUCGUCCUAGUAACGUGCUGUUAUACUCAGAUGAAAUAGAUCGCGCGCAUCGUUCAUGGUUACGGAAUAAAAUUUGACGACAAAUCCAACCAAAUGAUCUACACUUCAAAGCGAAAAAGAAAAACAAACAGUCCACUCAGCCAAAAUGAACCUCACCGAAACAUUUUUCCACUGGCACUGACUGAAGUCUUGACAAUCUUCGUUAACUGAUAAACUGAUUUUGUUGUCUUGCUUUCAUCGCAUGACAUAUAAUGAGGUGUUUUGACAGUUCACUUCCAUGCAAAAAGCGGGAAGGGAGAAUUCUGAAAGGAUUGUAAAAAAUAACGUUUAUGGAUGCUUUUUUUCACUUUCACUCAAGAGUGUCAACAAAUAUCAACCCUGAUCUCUACUGACUCACGCACACAGAGAUUAGUCCGCAACGGAUAAUCUGUAGGCGCGAUCUCGCUGAUCGAAAUCUGAAAUUGUUCAAAAAAGUAGUAGCGUCUAGAUGGUCAAGUAAAGAGCAUGUGUUAAUUGUGUACUCCCUUGGUAAAAUUGAUAAGUUUUCGAUCGCAAAUGGUGGCUUUUAUUGCAAGCAGUUCACGUUUUCUGGGAAUCGGUACGCGCGUUGAUGAAAUUUCAUCUCGGCAAUUUCGUUCGAUAAGCGGCUCAUCCGGGACAAACUUCCCUGCGUAAGAAAGUUCAUUUCCCCUGUGAGCAAAGCUAGCUACUCAGCGGCUAACAUAUUUGCGCUCAAAAAAGUUCGGUGUUCUAGAUUCCUGGCAAUUCAAAUCAAAACUCAACAAGAGAUGCUAUGCUACGUUGCGAAAUUCUUAUGUAUUUCACUCAGUUACUACGAUUGAAAAAUACCCGACCUAGAGACUGUGUUAUAAAGAGAUACGCAAAGAGAAAAACACUGCAAUUCCAACUGACAAACGUCAAGACCAUGAGCGAAACAAAAAUAGUGACGAUGGCGAACAGCGCAAGCAGCAUAUUUAGCCAGAGAUCAAAUAUUUAUUUGAGCAUCCUGAAAGCGAUUGCAUCGAUACAGUAACAGGGAUCAUCCGUAGGAUUAUCCUAUUAUUGAAUUCAAAAUCUAAAAUAAAAUAAAAAUGAAAAAUCUAAAAUAAAAAAAAGUCUCUUGAA